CUCGCGAUAAGCCACGCGAGCAACGCACGGUUCAUGCUCCUGGGACGUUCAAACCACGAAAAAACACGCGCUGGCAAAGAACGAGUGCUGAUAACACCCCAAGGACCCGUUUCGACGACGACGCGUUCAGUGUGCAGCAAGUUCAAAUGGCAGAACGAAAACUGCUGAAGUUCGUGCAUGUUCUGGAUGGAGUUCUGAAACACACUGAAGAUAAGAUCAGGAAGCUGUCAGACGAGAGCGGCAAGACAGGC